rnacentral:rRNA from 1 species
CGGACGGGUGAGUAACACGUGGAUAACCUACCUAUAAGACUGGGAUAACUUCGGGAAACCGGAGCUAAUACCGGAUAAUAUUUUGAACCGCAUGGUUCAAAAGUGAAAGACGGUCUUGCUGUCACUUAUAGAUGGAUCCGCGCUGCAUUAGCUAGUUGGUAAGGUAACGGCUUACCAAGGCAACGAUGCAUAGCCGACCUGAGAGGGUGAUCGGCCACACUGGAACUGAGACACGGUCCAA